rnacentral:rRNA from 1 species
CCUACGGGUGGCAGCAGUAGGGAAUUUUGCGCAAUGGGCGAAAGCCUGACGCAGCAACGCCGCGUGAUCGAGACGCCCUUCGGGGUGUAAAGAUCUGUCAGUGGGGACGAAACUUGACGGUACCCACAGAGGAAGCACCGGCUAACUCCGUGCCAGCAGCCGCGGUCAUACGGGGGGUGCAAGCGUUGUCCGGAAUCAUUGGGCGGAAAGAGUUCGUAGGCGGCACGUAAAGUCUGGUGUUAAAGGCAGAGGCUCAACAUCAGGACGGCACUGGAUACUUGCGAGCUAGAAUGCGGUAGAGGUAAGGGGAAGUCCAGGUGUAGCGGUAAAAUGCUUAGAUAUCAGGAGGAACAUCAGUGGCGUAGGCGCUUGACUGGGCCGUAAUUGACGCUGAGGAACGAAAGCCAGGGGAGCAAAUGGGAUUAGAUACCCUGGUAGUC